GACGAACGCUGGCGGCGUGCUUAACACAUGCAAGUCGAACGAUGAACCCGGAGCUUGCUCUGGGGGAUUAGUGGCGAACGGGUGAGUAACACGUGAGUAACCUGCCCUGGACUCUGGGAUAAGCGUUGGAAACGACGUCUAAUACCGGAUAGGACCUUGGAUCGCAUGAUCUGGGUUGGAAAGUUUUUUCGGUCUGGGGUGGACUCGCGGCCUGUCAGCUUGUUGGUGAGGUACUGGCUCACCAAGGCGUCGACGGGUAGCCGGCCUGAGAGGGUGACCGGCCACACUGGGACUGAGACACGGACCAGACUCCUACGGGAGGCAGCAGUGGGGAAUAUGGCACAAUGGGCGAAAGCAUGAUGCAGCAACGCCGCGUGCGGGAUGACGGCCUUCGGGUUGUAAACCGCUUUUAGUAGGGAAGAAGGGCUUCGGCUUGACGGUACCUGCAGAAAAAGGACCGGCUAACUACGUG
rnacentral:rRNA from 1 species